UGUCCAGUAACUCCUAUCCCUACCUCCCCAUGGUGUAACCGUAGGGAAGAUUGGGUAACCAACCCCGAUGGGACCUUGGUCGUAUGCUGACAGGGAAGG
rnacentral:ribozyme from 1 species